rnacentral:tRNA from 1 species
GCUUAUAUAGUUUAAAUAAAAUUAGGAGAUGUGGUUUCUUAGAUAGGUAGAUUCCUUAUUAGCA